rnacentral:rRNA from 1 species
CAGAUGCUAAUACCGCAUAAACCUAACACCGCAUGGUGUAGGUUGAAAGAUGGUUUCGGCUAUCACUUUAGGAUGGGACCCCGCGGUGCAUUAGUUAGUUGGUGAGGUAAAGGCUCACCAAGACCGUGAUGCAUAGCCGACCUGAGAGGGUAAUCGGCCACACUGGGACUGAGACACGGCCCAGACUCCUACGGGAGGCAGCAGUAGGGAAUCUUCCACAAUGGACGAAAGUCUGAUGGAGCAACGCCGCGUGAGUGAAGAAGGUUUUCGGAUCGUAAAACUCUGUUGUUGGAGAAGAAUGUAUCUGAUAGUAACUGAUCAGGUAGUGACGGUAUCCAACCAGAAAGCCACGGCUAACUACGUG